CAAGCAAAUCUUGUCAGUAGAAAAACGCGGCAAAUUUGAAAAAUCGCGGGUUAGCAACACUGUGUUUGAAUAAUUCCAAAAUCGCGUGUAAUCUGUGUUUUAUCUGUGGAAUGUGGAUCGUCCAUCUUGUUUGUUUACAUUCCGAAUCGGUGCUAAUUCAAGAGAAAUUUCUGCUCCCUGCAUUAAAAUAAAUAUCAAUAUAUUAAAUAAUAUUGUGCAUGACCAUAAGCAAAGUCAAGAUGCCUACAAUGGUUAAAAGGCUUAAAUAAAGAUAAAACGUAUGCUUAAAUAUAUCCAUUAAGACGACGAAUUGUGUCCUCGAAACCGCAACUAAUUCGAUUGUUCCCAAUAUCAACAGACGAAGUCCUCAAAUAUUUUCAAAGGAUUAAAACUCGCCCAAUAUAAGGCGUUCGUAAAAGUUUCUCUUCAUACAAAACUUACCUACGGCGGUUUACGUUCAUACGUGUACAACGCAAGCAAGACGAAAAAUAAACUUGUUACUUAAAAAAACUAAAAAAAUUCGGACAAUAGUUUAGAUUAUUACUGUAAAA